UACAGAGGGUGCGAGCGUUAAUCGGAAUUACUGGGCGUAAAGCGCGCGUAGGCGGCUUUGCAAGUCGGGUGUGAAAUCCCCAGGCUUAACCUGGGAACUGCAUUCGAGACUGCAUUGCUAGAGUAUGGGAGAGGGAAGUGGAAUUUCCGGUGUAGCGGUGAAAUGCGUAGAUAUCUGGAGGAACACCGAUGGCGAAGGCAGCCUCCUGGGAUGACACUGACGCUCAUGCACGAAAGCGUGGGGAGCAAACAGG
rnacentral:rRNA from 1 species